rnacentral:rRNA from 1 species
CUGGCUCAGGAUUAACGCUGGCGGCAUGCCUAAUACAUGCAAGUCGAACGGAGUAGCAAUACUUAGUGGCGAACGGGUGAGUAACACGUAUCUAAUCUACCAUUUAGUGGGGAAUAACUGUUGGAAACGACAGCUAAUACCGCAUAAUAUUGCUGGAUAAUUUCCAGUAAUGAAAGGAGCUUUCAAGCUCCGCUGAUUGAUGAGGAUGCGGCGCAUUAGCUAGUUGGUAGGGUAAUGGCCUACCAAGGCAAUGAUGCGUAGCCGAUCUGAGAGGAUAAACGGCCACAUUGGGACUGAGACACGGCCCAAACUUCUACGGAAGGCAGCAGUAGGGAAUUUUUCACAAUGGGCGAAAGCCUGAUGGAGCAAUGCCGCGUGACUGAUGAAGGUCUUCGGAUUGUAAAGGUCUGUUGUAAGGGAAGAAAUGGUAAAACAGGAAAUGGUUUUAUCUAUGACGGUACCUUACCAGAAAGCCACGGCUAACUAUGUGCCAGCAGCCGCGGUAAUACAUAGGUGGCAAGCGUUAUCCGGAUUUAUUGGGCGUAUAGGGUGCGUANACNGUUUUGCAAGUCUGANGU